UGCACGAAUUUGUUGGUUUCUUUUGGGGGUUGCAACGUUAAUACCUGAUAGCUUUUUAGUUAAGGAAUCGAGUUUAUUAUCACUGUCUUGUAUAUCGUGAAACUUGUUGUUUUGCGGCAGCAGUACCGUGCAAAGACAUAAAAAUUGCUAAAUUAUAAAUACUACAAAAAGUAGUGUUUAUGGACUCUUCAUCAAUUUGAUGGUGAGGGGAAGAAGCUGUUUUUAAAUCGUUGAGUGUGUGGUUCUAGUGCAACCUCCCCAAUGAGAGGAGGCCAUGGUGAGAGUCCUUAAUGAUGGAUACUGCUUCUUGAGGCACUGCCUCUUGAAGAUGUCCUUGAUGGUGGGGAGGGUUGUGCCUGUGAUGGAGCAACAAACAAUCUGCUAGAAGAAUGAUGCAGGAUUUUGACAUGAAAUGUUGACAUCUCCUUUCCUCCUAGAAAUACUUCUUGACCUGCUGAGUUCUUCCAGCAGAUUUUGUUGCCCCAGAUUCUGACAUCUGCAAUUUCUAGUGUCUCUGCCUUGAGUUAAUAUGAUCUUAAUGAAUGUCUAAAGUUUAAUUGAAGUGCCUUGUUUUCCAGAGGCAUCAACAUUGAAAUAAGAUGGUUGCCAUUUCUGAAUUUUGUUUAAUGCUUUAAAAAUCAGGCUGGUACUGUGAUUAGAUGAAAUGUACUUUAGAUGUUGGAAAACUGAAAUAAAAAUGGAAAUAUUGAAAGCCUGA